UUGACAACCCCAAAGUUCCCUCUUCACAGAAAAAGUACAACACGGGCAGCAGCAGUGCAAGCUUCACACACACGCUUCUCAAACAAACAUUAUUCUUUGACCUUCACCUGCAGGGACCACUUGAGAAGGGAGUUCAGUUUUCCUGCUCUUGCACAGUAUUUGCCUUCU
rnacentral:sRNA from 1 species